rnacentral:rRNA from 1 species
AUUGAACGCUGGCGGCAGGCCUAACACAUGCAAGUCGAGCGGAACGGCAGACGGGAGAGUGUUGCCUAGGAAUCUGCCUGGGAGUUGGGGAUAGCGUCCAGAACCGGGCGCUAAUACCACAUCCUCUCAGAUGAACAUAGGUCGGAUUCGCAAGUGGGUGGGGUAAAGGCCUACCAAGGCGACGAUCCGUAACUGGGCCGAGAGGAGGAUCAGUCACAAUGGAACUGAGAGACGGUCCAGACUCCUACGGGAGGCAGCAGGGGGGAAUCGUCGACAAUGGGUGAAAGCCUGAUAGAGCCAUGCCGCGUGUGUGAAGAAGGUCUUCGGAUUGUAAAGCACGUUAAGUCGGGAGGCGGUACCUACAGAAUAAGCACCGGCUAACUUCGUGUCAGCAGCCGCGGUAAUAC